rnacentral:tRNA from 1 species
GCCUGGGUGGCUCAGUCGGUUAAGCGUCUGACUUUGGCUCAGGUCAUGAUCUCAUGGUUCAUGGGUUUGAGCCCUGUGUCAGGCU